UACGAACGCUGGCGGCGUGCUUAACACAUGCAAGUCGAACGGAAAGGCCCUGCUUUUGUGGGGUGCUCGAGUGGCGAACGGGUGAGUAACACGUGAGUAACCUGCCCUUGACUUUGGGAUAACUUCAGGAAACUGGGGCUAAUACCGGAUAGGAGCUCCUGCUGCAUGGUGGGGGUUGGAAAGUUUCGGCGGUUGGGGAUGGACUCGCGGCUUAUCAGCUUGUUGGUGGGGUAGUGGCUUACCAAGGCUUUGACGGGUAGCCGGCCUGAGAGGGUGACCGGCCACAUUGGGACUGAGAUACGGCCCAGACUCCUACGGGAGGCAGCAGUGGGGAAUAUUGCACAAUGGGCGGAAGCCUGAUGCAGCAACGCCGCGUGCGGGAUGACGGCCUUCGGGUUGUAAACCGCUUUCGCCUGUGACGAAGCGUGAGUGACGGUAAUGGGUAAAGAAGCACCGACUAACUACGUG
rnacentral:rRNA from 1 species